rnacentral:rRNA from 1 species
AGGACGAACGCUGGCGGCGUGCUUAACACAUGCAAGUCGAGCGGAAAGGCCCUUCGGGGUACUCGAGCGGCGAACGGGUGAGUAACACGUGAGCAACCUGCCCUUAGCUCUGGGAUAGCUCCGGGAAACCGGAAUUAAUACCGGAUAUGACCUAGGCCGACAUCGGCCGUGGUGGAAAGUUUUUCGGCUAGGGAUGGACUCGCGGCCUAUCAGCUAGUUGGUGGGGUAAUGGCCUACCAAGGCGACGACGGGUAGCCGGCCUGAGAGGGCGACCGGCCACACUGGGACUGAGACACGGCCCAGACUCCUACGGGAGGCAGCAGUGGGAAUCUUGCGCAAUGGGCGAAAGCCUGACGCAGCGACGCCGCGUGGGGGAUGAAGGCCUCGGGUUGUAAACCCUUUCAGCAGGACGAAGCGAAAGUGACGGUACUGCAGAAGAAGCGCCGGCUAACUACGCGCCAGCAGCCGC